GUCAUUCCCACAGUGUCAUAAAGGUUGUCUGUCAUUCCCAUAGUGUCAUAAAGGUUGUCUGUCAUUCCCAUAGGUUGUCUGUCAUUCCCAUAGUGUCAUAAAGGUUGUCUGUCAUUCCCAUAGGUUGUCUGUCAUUCCCAUAGUGUCAU